UUGAACCUUUCAGAUGGCGUCAGCGAGUUCAGCCAGGAUCGAGUAACGAGAGAUAUUGAGGAAGGAAAGGACUUGCAUCGCGAACCAGUUCUGACUGACUUGUGGAAGAGAUAAUGCUGAUGAUGCUGCUGAUGAUGAUAAUAAUAUUAAUAGUAAUAAUAUUAGUAGAGUUUUCAUGACUAAGGCCAAAUACAACACUUAAAGUUUUCCAUUUCUAUUGCAUUAAAACACUUGGAUCAUGUAAAAGUUCUUUAUGUAGACUAAUUUGAACCUUUCAGACGGCGUCAGCGAGUUUAACCAGGAUCGAGUAAGGAGACAUAUUGAGGAAGGAAAGGACUUGCAUCACGAACCAGUCCUUACUGAUUUGUGGAAGAGAUAAUGCUGAUGAUGCUGCUGACGAUGAUUCCGUCAGCGAGCUUAACCAGGAUUGAGUAAGGAGACAUAUUGAGGAAGGAAAGGACUUGCAUCACGAACCAGUUCUGACUGACUUGUGGAAGAGAUAAUGCUGAUGCUGCUGCUGAUGAUGUUGGCGUCAGCGAGUUUAACCAGGAUCGAGUAAGGAUAAAUAUUGAGGAAGGAAAGGACUUGCAUCGCGAACCAGUUCUGACAGACUUGUGGAAGAGAUAAUGCUCAUGAUGAUG